rnacentral:rRNA from 1 species
UACGUAGGUGACAAGCGUUGUCCGGAUUUACUGGGCGUAAAGAGCGCGCAGGCGGUCGUUCAAGUCGAGUGUGAAAGCCCCCGGCUCAACUGGGGAGGGUCAUUCGAUACUGAUCGACUCGAAGGCAGGAGAGGGAAGUGGAAUUCCCGGUGUAGUGGUGAAAUGCGUAGAUAUCGGGAGGAACACCAGUGGCGAAGGCGACUUCCUGGCCUGUACUUGACGCUGAGGCGCGAAAGCUAGGGGAGCAAACGGG